UUAAUUGUAACAUGAAUGUGGCCAGUUAAAAAGGCUCCACCUCUAAAGUAGACAGUUCCUUCCUGGAGCACAGUUAUAUUACAGACACUGCAGAGCUACGACCAGUCGCACCAUGAGGACCUUCAUCUGGAUCAAUACUGUCGUUAUCUACAGCAUCAGCUGGAUCUCUGUCUCAGUGUCUGAGUCUCAGAAUGUGACGGUCCAGUCUGGUCAAAGUGUCACACUGAGGUCCCCCAUACUGAAUGCUAACACUGUGAUGACCUGGUCCAGACUGACCAAUAAAACCACAGCCAGCUGCAUCUGUUUUACUGCCAGACCUACUGAAGUAGCUCAGUUCUGUGUUGGAUUCAAUAAUAGAACCUUUCAAGUGGAAGUCAAUACAACUGGAGUGUUUCUCACAAUCAAAAAUGUUAAUUCAUCCGAUUCGGGAAUCUAUUUAUGUGAAUUUUUCAACAGAGGACAUAACGUUUACUAUGUGAUACAUUUAAACGUAAACGGCAGUGAGGAAACUCAGGGCGACUUAGACACAGAGUCUCAAAGUAAGACUGUCUUUAAGUUUUUAGUUGUUGUGUCAAUUUUUUCGUUUGCAGAUGAAUGCAGUUUAAAUGUGUUUAUUUAAUUUAGCAGAGUGUAAUAAACCUGAGGAAACAACACAUGUGAUGAGCUUGAUCCUCGGUGGUCUGACUGUUUUCCUUUUCGUGGUCGUCACUGUUCUGGUUGUUUCACUCGGAAAACGUCAAGCAGCUUCUGGUGAAAGACAAGAUCCACAACAACAUGAGAAUGUGGAUUGUGACAACCUGAAGGCUGCAGCACUGAGUGUGUUUUCACCAGCAGUAAGAAGCAGGAGACCUGCAUCACAGAGACAAGUGGAGACUCAUGUUACUUACGCUGCCAGCAGAUAGACUCACAGAGCAACUGCUGCUCUUAUCAGACUGAUCUACUGCUGUGUUCUGAUGGGAACUUACUGAAACUAGGGAGAAAUGAGUGAGUGAACAUGCAGACGUGGUUCAGGUCAUGAUCCUCUCAUGUCUCACUCCAUCCUCCUAUUAUGACCUGACUUUGGUGACAGACUGAUGAAGGUCUGCAGCAGAGCAGGGCUGAGUGAGACACACAUCACUAGUUUGACAUAAAGAGACAAUACGAUGUAGAAAAACAAUGAGGCCUGUAAACUUGAUAAAAAUGUUUGAGAUGAACCAAUAAACUGUGUCUGACUUUGUUGUGAACCUCCAAAUCUCUGUUUGCACAUUACUGUAUUUACCAGUAGAAAUGUGACCUGAUGAUAAUGAGCUACACCUCUAAAUAAAACA